rnacentral:rRNA from 1 species
UCUAUUUAUCUUCUCUUGUGCACAUUUUGUAGUCUUGAAUNGAAACCUCUCGCAGCAAUGCGGUUUGGGNGACUGGUGCUUCACGGCGCCUUCUCCUGCUUCUUCAAGGCUACGUUUUCAUAUACACGUUAAAGUUACAGAAUGUCUUUUAACGAUUGUGCUCGUCNCAGUCAUUAAACCUAUACAACUUUCAGCAACGGAUCUCUUGGCUCUCCCAUCGAUGAAGAACGCAGCGAAAUGCGAUAAGUAAUGUGAAUUGCAGAAUUCAGUGAAUCAUCGAAUCUUUGAACGCACCUUGCGCCCUUUGGUAUUCCGAAGGGCAUGCCUGUUUGAGUGUCAUUAAAUUAUCAACCUUGUUCGCUUUUCGGAGCUUGAGCGAGGCUUGGAUGUGAGGGUUUUUGCUGGCUUCCUUCAGUGGAUGGUCUGCUCCCUUUAAAUGCAUUAGUGGGAUCUCUUUUGUGGACCGUCACUUGGUGUGAUAAUUAUCUAUGCCAUUGACUUGCUUAACGAGAAUCUGCUUAUAACNGUCUCGCAAGGGACAACACUUUAUUGACAAUUGACCUCAAUCA